AAAAGUUCAGGCUGAAUGUUUAGCGGGUGCUGCCUCUAAAGAGAGCAAUCACUGCACUUAUGGCUGGGAUUUUGCGCUUAGUAGUUCAGAGGCCCCCGGGCAGACUACAGACGGUGACAAAAGGUAUGGAGUCUCGCAUUUGUACAGAUUGGAUUCGUCACAAAUUCACCAAAUCAAGAAUUCCAGAUAAAGUGUUUCAGGCCUCACCUGAAGAUCAUGAAAAAUAUGGUGGAGAUCCACAGAACCCUCAUAAACUGCAUAUUGUUACCAGAAUAAAAAGUACAAGAAGACGUCCAUAUUGGGAAAAAGAUAUAAUAAAGAUGCUUGGAUUAGAAAAAUCGCAUACCCCUCAAGUUCACAAGAAUAUCCCUUCCGUGAAUUCAAAAUUGAAGGUGGUUAAGCAUUUGAUAAGAAUCCAGCCCUUGAAGUUGCCACAAGGACUUCCAACAGAGGAGAACAUGUCUAACACGUGCCUCAAAACCACUGGCGAGUUAGUAGUGCAGUGGCAUCUGAAACCUGUGGAGCAGAAAGCACAUGAGUCCUAGUGCCCCAGCAGCUUCCAAUUGGAAAAUGCAAAUUGUUUUUAUUUAAAGAUGAUACC